UUUCCGUAGGUGAACCUGCGGAAGGAUCAUUGUCGAAACCUGCCCAGCAGAACGACCCGCGAACUUGUAUAAACAACCGGGGGCGGGGGGCGUUCUCGCCCCGUGCCCCCGAACGGCGGGGAGACACUCGUGCCUUCUUGCCGAACAACGAACCCCUGCGCGGUCUGCGCCAAGGAACUUCAACUAAAGAGUGCCUCCGGUCGCCUCGGAAACGGCGUGCGUGCCGGGGGCGAAUCUUGUGCAAAACCAUAACGACUCUCGGCAACGGAUAUCUCGGCUCUC
rnacentral:misc_RNA from 1 species